CCUACGGGUGGCAGCAGUCGAGAAUCAUUCACAAUGGGGGAAACCCUGAUGGUGCGACGCCGCGUGGGGGAAUGAAGGUCUUCGGAUUGUAAACCCCUGUCAUGUGGGAGCAAAUUAAAAAGAUAGUACCACAAGAGGAAGAGACGGCUAACUCUGUGCCCGCAGCCGCGGUAAUACAGAGGGCUCAAGCGUUGUUCGGAAUCACGGGGCGUAAAGCGUGCGUAGGCUGUUUCGUAAGUCGUGUGUGAAAGGCGCGGGCUCAACCCGCGGACGGCACAUGAUACUGCGAGACUCGUGUAAAGGAGGGGGAACCGGAAUUCUCGGGGUAGCAGUGAAAUGCGUAGAUAUCGGGAGGAACACACGUGGCGAAGGCGGGUUCCUGGACAUUAACUGACGCUGAGGCACGAAGGCCAGGGGAGCGAAAGGGAUUAGAUACCCCAGUAGUC
rnacentral:rRNA from 1 species